GCAGUCGUGGCCGAGUGGUUAAGGCGAUGGACUCGAAAUCCAUUGGGGUCUCCCCGCACAGGUUCGAAUCCUGUCGGCUGCG
rfam:Ixodes scapularis strain Wikel colony gcontig_1107729136020, whole genome shotgun sequence.